rnacentral:rRNA from 1 species
UACGAAGGGGGCUAGCGUUGCUCGGAAUCACUGGGCGUAAAGGGUGCGUAGGCGGGGCUUUAAGUCAGAGGGGAAAUCCUGGAGCUCAACUCCAGAACUGCCUUCGAUACUGGAUGUCUUGAGUUCGGGAGAGGUGAGUGGAAUGCCGAGUGUAGAGGUGAAAUUCGUAGAUAUUCGGAAGAACACCAGUGGCGAAGGCGGCUCACUGGUCCGGUACUGACGCUGAGGUGCGAAAGCGUGGGGAGCAAACAGG